rnacentral:rRNA from 1 species
GAUGAACGCUGGCGGCGUGCUUAACACAUGCAAGUCGAACGAGAAGUGAAGACGGAAACCUUCGGGCGGAAGGCUUUAUUUCGAGUGGCGGACGGGUGAGUAACGCGUGGGUAACCUGCCUCAUACAGGGGGAUAACAGUUGGAAACGACUGUUAAUACCGCAUCAGACCACAGCACCGCAUGGUGCGGGGGUAAAAACUCCGGUGGUAUGAGAUGGACCCGCGUUCGAUUAGCCAGUUGGCGGGGUAACGGCCCACCAAAGCGACGAUCGAUAGCCGAUCUGAGAGGAUGACCGGCCACAUUGGGAAUGAGACACGGCCCAAACUCCUACGGGAGGCAGCAGUGGGGAAUAUUGCACAAUGGGGGAAACCCUGAUGCAGCGACGCCGCGUGAGUGAAGAAGUAUUUCGGUAUGUAAAGCUCUAUCAGCAGGGAAGAAAAUGACGGUACCUGAGGAAGAAGCCCCGGCUAACUACGUG